rnacentral:rRNA from 1 species
UAAAGACCUGUAUGAAUGGCUAAAUGAGUAUUUUACUGUCUCCUUUAACUAAUUAGUGAAACUGAUCUUUCAGUACAAAAGCUGAAAUAAAAAUAUAAGACGAGAAGACCCUGUGGAGCUUUAAAUUUUUACCAAUUUAAUAUUACCCAUAUAUUUAUGACAAAAAUUUUUUAGUUGGGGCGACUUUGGAGUAAAAUUUAACCUCCAAGAAAAGGUAAAACCUAGACAAGGCUAACCAGCCAAUCUAUACGACCCAGUAUUACUGACCAACGAACCAAGUUACCCCAGGGAUAACAGCGCUAUCUUCUUCAAGAGUUCAUAUCGACAAGAAGGUUUACGACCUCGAUGUUGGAUCAGGACACCCAAAUGGUGCAGCCGCUAUUAAAGGUUCGUUUGUUCAACGAUUAAUAGU